rnacentral:rRNA from 1 species
GAUGAACGCUGGCGGCGUGCCUAACACAUGCAAGUCGAACGAAACACUUUAGCUUGAUUCUUCGGAUGAAGGCUAUUGUGACUGAGUGGCGGACGGGUGAGUAACGCGUGGGUAACCUGCCUCAUACAGGGGGAUAACAGUUAGAAAUGACUGCUAAUACCGCAUAAGACCACGGAGUCGCAUGGCCCAGUGGGAAAAACUCCGGUGGUAUGAGAUGGACCCGCGUCUGAUUAGGUAGUUGGUGGGGUAACGGCCUACCAAGCCGACGAUCAGUAGCCGACCUGAGAGGGUGACCGGCCACAUUGGGACCGAGACACGGCCCAAACUCCUACGGGAGGCAGCAGUGGGGAAUAUUGCACAAUGGGGGAAACCCUGAUGCAGCGACGCCGCGUGAGCGAAGAAGUAUUUCGGUAUGUAAAGCUCUAUCAGCAGGGAAGAAAAUGACGGUACCUGACUAAGAAGCACCGGCUAAAUACGUGCCAGCAGCCGCCGUAA